GAUGAACGCUGGCGGCGUGCCUAACACAUGCAAGUCGAGCGAUUCUCUUCGGAGAAGAGCGGCGGACGGGUGAGUAACGCGUGGGUAACCUGCCCUGUACACACGGAUAACAUACCGAAAGGUAUGCUAAUACGAGAUAAUAUGCUUUUAUCGCAUGGUAGAAGUAUCAAAGCUCCAGCGGUACAGGAUGGACCCGCGUCUGAUUAGCUAGUUGGUAAGGUAACGGCUUACCAGGGCGACGAUCAGUAGCCGACCUGAGAGGGUGAUCGGCCACAUUGGAACUGAGACACGGUCCAAACUCCUACGGGAGGCAGCAGUGGGAAUAUUGCACAAUGGGCGAAAGCCUGAUGCAGCAACGCCGCGUGAGCGAUGAAGGCCUUCGGGUCGUAAAGCUCUGUCCUCAAGGAAGAUGAUGACGGUACUUGAGGAGGAAGCCCCGGCUAACUACGUGCCAGCAGCCGCAGUAA
rnacentral:rRNA from 1 species